CCUACGGGAGGCAGCAGUGAGGAAUAUUGGUCAAUGGGCGCAAGCCUGAACCAGCCACGCCGCGUGAAGGAAGACGGCCCUAUGGGUUUUAAACUGCUUUUGUAAGGGGGUAAACGCAGGUACGUGUGUCUGUCUGCAUGUAUCGUACGAAUAAGGAUCGGCUAACUCCGUGCCAGCAGCCGCGGUAAUACGGAGGGUGCGAGCGUUAUCCGGAUUUAGUGGGUUUAAAGGGUGCGUAGGCGGUUGUUUAAGUUAGAAGUGAAAUGGCGAGGCUCAAAUUGGGAAUUGCCUUUGAUACUGGGCGGCUUGAGAGCAGGUGAGGAAGGCGGAAUGCAUGGUGUAGCGGUGAAAUGCUUAGAGAUCAGGAAGAACACCAAUUGCGAAGGCAGCUUACCAAGCUGUUACUGACGUUGAGGCACGAAAGCGUGGGGAGCAAACAGGAUUAGAUACCCGUGUAGUC
rnacentral:rRNA from 1 species